AUGGCAACCAACACCCGCCCCAUCGUCUCGGUGAAGGCCCUGGAGGGUGACAUGACCACCGACUGCGCCGGCCUCGCCCUUGCCGAGGUCUUCCGCUCGCCGAUCCGCCCCGACGUUGUCCGCUCAGCCCACAGGUUGCUCUCCUGCAACAAGCGCCAGCCCUACGCCGUCUCCCGUCGCGCCGGACACCAGACCUCGGCCGAGUCUUGGGGCACGGGGCGUGCGGUGUCACGUAUUCCUCGUGUCCCUGGAGGCGGAACACACCGCGCUGGCCAGGGGGCCUUCGGCAACAUGUGCUGUGGGGGACGUAUGUUCGCACCCACCAAGACCUGGCGCAAGUGGCACCGCCGCGUCAACGUCCACAUGCGACGUGUCGCCGUCACCUCCGCCCUCGCCGCCACCGCCGUCCCAGCCCUUGUCCUCGCCCGCGGUCACCGCAUCGAAACCGUCCCUGAGAUGCCCCUUGUCAUUUCUGACUCGGCGGAGUCCAUCGAGAAGACUUCUCAGGCCAUCAAGAUCCUGAAGCAGACCGGUGCCUAUGCUGAUGCUGAGAAGGCCCAGGACUCUGUUGGCAUCCGAACUGGCAAGGGUAAGAUGCGCAACCGCCGAUACAUCAACCGCAAGGGGCCUCUCGUUGUCUACGGCACUGAGGGAUCGAAGAUCGUCAAGGCCUUCCGCAACCUGCCUGGUGUGGAUGUCGCCAACGUUGAGCGCCUCAACCUUCUCGACCUUGCCCCUGGUGGCCACCUUGGGCGGUUUGUAAUCUGGACGCAAAUCGCAUUCAAGAAGUUGGAGGAGGUGUAUGGCACCUUUGAUGCGCCUUCACAGAGGAAUGGCUUCUUUCUGCCAAGGCCCAAGAUGACCAACGCUGACCUUGGCAGGAUCAUCAACUCUGAUGAGGUGCAGUCUGUCGUUAAGCCAACCAACAAGGAGAUAAAGCUCAGGAAGAAGAGGAGGAACCCGCUCAAGAAUGUGGCUGCAGUGCUCAAGCUGAACCCCUACUUUGGCACUGCCCGCAGGAUGGCUACCCUCGUGGAAGCUGCUCGCAUGAAGGCAAGGAAGGAGAAGAUUGCUUCCAAGAGGACCAGGCUUAGCCCGGAGGAAGCUGCCAAGGUCAAGGCUGCUGGCAAAGCAUGGUACGAGACCAUGAUAUCCGACAGUGACUACACUGAGUUUGAUGUCUUCUCGAAGUGGCUCGGUGUGUCGCAGUAA
rnacentral:rRNA from 1 species